rnacentral:lncRNA from 1 species
UGCUUCUCAUAACAUUCUGGAAGAAGGAAUUUGUUUCGAAGUGUGUUUAGGAGUGAUUGGCUAGUUAUCUAGUCUACAAUCUACACUAUGCUGCUUGCCUGGCCUUUGCAGCAUGCACUGAACUGCUGGCUUUGAAGCAUCGGAAAUCAUGUCUGAUCAAAUGCUGAAUUUGGUGAACUUGGAAUACAAAAUAAUGAAACAUAUCAUUGCUUUCUGCACCUAGAUCACAUAUACCUGCCAUUCACUCUAUGUGCUUGUUUCUGUUUAAUUUUAGGUUGAAUUUGAACAAAGUUAUCACGUACUUGCAUCAACUAAGCAAAGUGCAAUGACUUGCUUGAUAUUAGGAUGGUGAUUUCAAGGUUCUUUGAUCAAACUUGCAUCUUAGUUAUAACAAAGGGAUGAUCUUCUUGCCCAAAGGUGUGGAUCGUUAUUUUUGGUUCAAUUAAGAUGGCAUAGUAUGGAUUCUAUUUCACAAGACUUUUUUGAAAGCUUCAUCUUGCCUAAAGGUGUUGAAAGUUUCUUAUGAAGGUAACUCGUGUAAUGUAUGAUCCAGGGAUAAAUUUAUGUGUUUCCAGUUACAAAUAUUUCCAUUAUGAGCCACAUUAUAGUUUGCGGUUUUGUGGCAUGGAAUUGGUUGCAUGAUAUAUAUAUAUAUAUAUAUAUAUAUAUAUAUACAUAUAUAUAUAUAUAUAUAUAUGUCUCUUCAUGAGACUUAUUGAUGCAAAUAUAUUGUACCCGUGAAGGUUAACCAAGGAUUGAUCAGUUUUGUUUUAGAGCCCAAGUCAGUUAGUGGUCGUGGGGAAGAAAGUUAAUAUAUACUCUUUUAUUUCAACAAACCAUUUU